AUUGAACGCUGGCGGCAUGCCUUACACAUGCAAGUCGAACGGUAACAGGUCUUCGGAUGCUGACGAGUGGCGAACGGGUGAGUAAUACAUCGGAACGUGCCUAGUAGUGGGGGAUAACUACUCGAAAGAGUGGCUAAUACCGCAUGAGAUCUACGGAUGAAAGCAGGGGAUCGCAAGACCUUGUGCUACUAGAGCGGCCGAUGGCAGAUUAGGUAGUUGGUGGGAUAAAAGCUUACCAAGCCGACGAUCUGUAGCUGGUCUGGGAGGACGAUCAGCCACACUGGGACUGAGACACGGCCCAGACUCCUACGGGAGGCAGCAGUGGGGAAUUUUGGACAAUGGGCGAAAGCCUGAUCCAGCAAUGCCGCGUGCAGGAUGAAGGCCUUCGGGUUGUAAACUGCUUUUGUACGGAACGAAAAGCCCCGGGUUAAUACCCUGGGGUCAUGACGGUACCGUAAGAAUAAGCACCGGCUAACUUCGUGCCAGCCGCCGCAGUAA
rnacentral:rRNA from 1 species